rnacentral:lncRNA from 10 species
GAAAGGAAGGAAAAGGUACUGGAGGGUGAAUGAGUGAGCAGUUUUUAAUAAUGGACCAUAGAAUGUAAGCUGAGUCUAGAGGGAACUGAAGAUUUUAUGGGAGUGAGGGAUGGUGAAUGGAUGGAGCAUAGGUCCUAGUGAGGAUGAAGAAUUUUUGGAGUUGGAGUAUCGAGGAAUGGCAUGGAAAGAAGAGAUCAGUAGGUCUAAGAGUGGAUGCAUGAAAUGACCAAGUCUGGGGUAUAAUUAUCGGAGUUCCAUGGCAGGAGGUCAUUUGUAACUUGUGAAAGCAUGAACUUGGACUUCAUGGCUUUAAGCCUUAGCUGAUCAUAAUGCCUGGUUAUGGCAAAAAGACCGCAAUUCCCACCAGAGAGCAAAAAGGAAGUAAAGCUACCAUUGUUGAUCUGAAACUAAAUGGAUUCUUGUCCGUUGUGAGGAGCAGCAGCCUACAAAGCACACUGAAUGCCAAAUGUGUUGCACCAGGGCUACAGGUCUGGCUCCUUCAUACCUGCACUGUACUAUAAUGCACAGAUGUUUACACUGGUCUUCCUUAAGUAGAAAAAAAAUUAAAGAGGAAGUGAACGAUUUUCUUCUAGCUUUCUGUAGGGCUAAGGGAACACUUAGGCUUGAAUGGGGCAGAGAAGUCAAGAACUAGAAGAAAACAACAAUAAUAAAAGUUAACAUUUUUUGCAUUCUUACUUUGUGCUGGACGCUAUUCUAAGCUUCUCCUAUGAAUUAUCUCAGUUACUGUCCCCAACAGCCCCAUGAGGUAGGUAUUACUACUCUCCCUGGUUUACAGAUGUGCAAACCAAUGCGCAAGAAGUAUCCUGUCCAAGGGCACACAUUUGGGGAUUGGCAAAGCUAGGAUUUAAGCUCUGGAAUUUUGGCCCUCAAACCUGAACUUUUAACUCCUUGUCCACACAGGGAAGGAAAUUAAAAAGAGAAACUUUCAUGCUCAAGCUUCUACGUGUCCUAUGUGACCAAACUUGAGAUCUUAAGCUGCAGGUUCGCUGGGAUUUCCAUCAUCCCAGGCUGGCUCUUCAUCCACAGACUAGGGUGCUUGGAGAAUGAAAAGAGACUCACAAGAAGCAAAGCCAUGAAACUGAUAAAGGCAUCUGUUUUUCUAAUGCUUUUUCAUAAACAUACUCAUUCCUCUAUAAUUUCAAAUAUACAGCUUUCUCCAAAACUCCCUCUACAGCUCAAAGUCUGCUGAAGCCCAGAUUUUG